rnacentral:lncRNA from 13 species
AUAAGAUAUACUAUCAGAAGCAGGUCAGCAUGCUUCAAGUCAUCCUCAAAGCAUGAGAACACAUCAAUGCUCUCCAUUGAUCCACGGUCGGGGACAGUCAAUGUGGACAAGUGGAGUCAAAGAGAGCUGUCUGAAUGGGACAUCAACAGGAUCAGCAGUGGUGGCGGCAGGAUUUUUUCACUGGGGUAGCUAUGGGGUAGCUUGUUCACUGCAUAGGGGUGGAUUACAUGCACACAUGCGAUCACGUCCGUGAGGUGAGGGAGAACGAUGUCGACCUCGAUCACCAAAUAUCUUCGAAUAUACAUAUGUACUCAACAUGUCAUUGAAAAUCAUGUUAGGGUUUGCAAGAAACCAACGGUUAACUCCCAAACAACAGCCCUCCAUGACUCCAAUGCCAAUUAGCUUGGGUUCAAUAUUUUACAGCUAGUAGCCUACUGUUAUAGCUAUCGGAAACAACACAGCUAUCUGCAAAUCAGUGCAACAAUUUUGAAACAAUAGGAAUCGGGUCGUAAAACAGAUCAAUGGUCAGAUACACACACAUCCUGAUUUAAACUAAUUUAGCUAGCGAUUUAAAAGAUCUGACUCUGGAUCAGGGGAUAGCUACAGGCAAAUUUGACAUAGUUCAAAGACAUAUCAGUCAGAUGGAUUUUUCAACCACUCAAAUUCAAGACAUUCUGUCAGAGCCAAUGAGGAGGCACGGUGUUAUGUAGGCUGGACCCUGAGCAGUCAGAGCUCGUUUGUGAGAACAGGAUUUUGAGAGACAGAAAAAUGUAGACUCAUUAUAUAUAUUGAAAUUAAAACAUUAUUCAUUUCUUUCUUGGGGGUGCUAGGCCUAUUUUUGACGGCACUUCAGCACUGUCUUGCCCCGGCCCAAAGCCUCCACUGAGGAUCAGGAAUUCCCGAAUGUCCAAGCCCUUUAGAAUACCAAGCGCAGUAUCACAGAGUGUCAAUGUCUCACGGGUAAACACUGCUAGGACCCAACACUUACAUGAUUUUAAGACCGACACACUGCAGGACAGCCGGAGUCAGCUCAGAGCUGAUACCAGCCUAAAGAGCAUUGAUCUUAAGCAGUACAGGAAAUCAGUCCAUGUGAGGAAUGGUGGUUUGAAGCCUUUGAAACCUGUUGGCCCACAGAGACCAAGUAUAUUCCAGUGUACUGGCAUAACUUCAGACCCUAUGAAGAAUGUGCAAGAGAAAUACCACCAGGGUGACAACACGGCUCCUGUGUUCAGGCGCUUCUAUGAGGUGAUGCUUGAGGAGCCACAGAGAAGACGUCAAGACAGGUAAAGGCAAGCACUGACAUUUCCUUGACAACUCUGUCACAGUUUGUUUGGCUCGCAGGAUUAGCUAACUGGUA